GUGCUGGGAUUACAGGCAUGAACCACUGCACCUGGCCACCAAAUGCCAUUCUAAGAGUUCAGGGGAAGAAGAGGAGUUGGCAUUGAGUGGGACCUGGAAGGCAAGCUCUGGUGGGGCUGUAGGGAAGCCACAGUGGGACCUGCCUAAGGUCACACAGCAAGCAAGUAUGAGACAGCAGCAGGGCUGGGACCUGGAUCUCCCAGUGUGACAUGCCUUCUUGCACCUUGCAGCCAACUGUGGGGCCCCUGCGACUGUGCCAUUUUCAAGGACACACGGUCCCAGACGCCUCCACGAUGCUGAGCUGUUCAAUGAGUGGCUCUGGUCCUUCUCCCCCCUCUAUUAAAAUGGAAAAAAGAAAGAAAGAAAGAAAUCCAGGCAUUGUUCCUGACUGCAGCUGGUGCCAACCAGAAUCCCGCUGAACAGAAUGGAGCCGAGAGCCCGGCCGCCCAGGGGCCUGGCUGCUGACACAGGGCCUUUCUAUUUUGCUUUCCACUGGGGGCCCGGGCUGACGGUGCAGCCCCUCCAUGGACACCCUCUCCACCUGCCUCCCUGGCCCUGGCUCUGAGCCUCCCGCUGCCUUCACCCUCUUUGAAAAAAUCAGAUGGCACUUGGGGGAGGGUUGGAGGAGCACCCCCACCCCCUGCUUUCCUUCUUCAUCCACUCACAGCCUGGGAUGCACUGGGCCUCCCCCUCCACCAGCCUGUCCCCCCACCCUACCAGGAGGGGACUUGGGAUGCUUAUCUGGGAGAACAACACAAAUCCCUCUUCCAAAAUCAUUUGAAACACUGGUCUGAUUCUAGGACAUAUGAGGAUUUUCCACCCCACCCCCACCUGACUUGGCAGGUGCCAGUCCUCAGCUCACACAUUAAGGCCUCUUGCAAUAGUGAAGGCCUCAGGGGGAAAGGGGAACAUGAUGAACAGCUCUACAGAGACAAAAACAGUUUUUUAAGUCGCUGGUUUGCCUUCUCCCUUUGGUCUUAGGAGGAAGAAGGACUUCUCCAACUCUCCCUUGCCAUCUUCAUUUCAUUCCCUUCUCCCUGCUCCUUUCAUGAGCUGUCUGGUACUCUGGCCCCCUCUUCCCAUGCUGUGGGCCAGUUUGACCCAGAUUACCCCCAAGCAGCAGUUCUAAGAGAGCAGCAGCCUUGCCACUGUCCAGUGUUCAACAGGGACCCUUGGAUUGUCGCUGCCACCAGAGCCAGCUCUCCUGGCACCCCCAUCCUCCUGUGGACACAGCUCUUUAGUUUGUAAAAAGCAUUUGACGUCUCACGUGAGUGCCACAGCAGCCUCAAGAGGCAGGCAGGGAUUGCUAACCCACUUUGUAGAAGAAUAAACUAAGGGUUCAGGAGGAAUAGUGGUUUGGCCAAGGUCAAAGGAUGUGACAAAGUUGGGGUUUGAACCCUGGUCUCUUGAUUCCAUGUCACUAAGCUGGAGUGGGGACUCAGGCAGUGAUGGCCUCAGAGGAUGACAUUCCCAGCCCCCACCACCCUCCACCCAACCAAAUGCUGCCAGGAGACAGGAUCUCAGACACAUCGAUUCCUUUAAGGAAUAUUUGUUAAAUACUUGCUAUAUGCCUGAUCUCCGACAGUGAAUAAAACAGAUUUGGUCCACACUGCCGCAGAGCUUAUAUUCUGAGACAGUCACCAGACUUCGUGCAGAAAGAUGCCCCCCUUCCUAGUUGCCUGGCCCAUAUAUCCUAGAAGGAACCAUGAGAUGGGCAGCCAGAGACAUAAGUUCUAGUCCUAGCAUUGCCUCUAACUCGCUCUGUCACCUUGGACUGAGUUUUCCACCUGGAAAAUCUAAGCAUGUGGCCCCCCACACAUUUUCUCAGGUCUCUGCCCUACUCCCAGUCUCUGGGUCUAGCGGUUCAUGAUUUCCUGGCAUGAAUAAUUACCGUGAUUUAGUUUUUUUUCUUAACCUCAACUUUUCUUAGGCUCUCAGAGCCAGAACAGGGCUUCUGAGAUCGUUUGCUCUGAGCCGUUCACUAAGAAAGAACCCCUCAGCCUCAUUCCUGCCGGGAGGAGACGUCUCUGCUUGCACUCUUCCAGGGACGGGCUACUUGCUCCUUCACAUAGCAGACCUCUGCCAGUGGUGUACUGGUAAAUGUUUAACAGCUGACUCCCCAAAGUGGGGAGAACCUGGUUUGUAGUAUUUGCUGAUGUCCACGGUGUAAAUACCCCCACCAUGGCCAGUUUCAAGCUGCCGACCAGAGCCAGCUGGCACAGCUGGUUGGUUCCAUCAACCAGCUCGCACAGUUCCUGAAAAUUUAACAAUCGGCCCUUGUGAGCCAUACGAGCAGGCUCCAACACACCAUUGCCCCUGCCCCGCAGAGAAGUCUUGCCCAGCUUUACUCACGGGGAGGCCCUUUCUGGUAUUGAGCAAAACAUCUGAUUGUCAGGAACUCUGGCCUGAAAGUCCGGAGCUGCUUCUCUGGGGUGUCACAGGACAAUGGGGGCCCCAUGAAGCCCUUCUCUAAUUGGUGGCAGCUCUUGACCCUGUCUUCCUGUGAGAGGAGCAAAUUCCUGGGCCAAGUGGGGUCAGAGCAUAGCCACCCUCCUAUUCUGCCUUUCUCUCUCCCUCUUCACCUCCCUUUCCUCCUCCCUUUCUCUCACAAAUAUUUCCUGGGCCCCUAUGACAAUGUCAGACACCGUGCUAGAUACUAUGGAUUCAGCGACCCAUGUCUUAGCUUGACAGAGAUGCUGCCCACUCUGCGAAGCCUAUCCUGGGCCCCACCCUGGCCCCUCCCGCAGCGGGCAGUCUCCUCCCCUCCCAGAGCCUUUAUCGCCCCUGUUUGGCACUUAUCACUUUCUACCUGGGAUUGCAGCUAUUUGUGUACUCGGCUUAUCUCCCUGCCAGACUGAGAGGCAACGCGGGCCUGUUGAAAGAGCGUGGACUUUGGAGCCGCAUGACCUGGCCCUCAAUCCCAACCCCGCGACUCAGAGCUGUGAGUCCUCGUGGAGUUCACACCACCUUUGGGAGCCUCAGUUUCCUUAUCUGUAAAGUGGGGAUGUGAUAACUACUUCCAAUGUGAUUUUGAAGAAUAAGUAGGAUUAGAAAUGUCAACCCCAUUUCCUGUUCCUGUCUGGACUCCCAUUCUCUUGGGGACAGAAAUUGUGUGCAAUACUUCUCUGUAGCCUCCUGGUAAUAAUAACAUAACAAUAACAAUGACAAACACUUAUACAGCAAUACCAUACAUAAGGUAUUGUUUUAAGAGCUUACAUAUGUUAACUCAUUUGUUCUACAACCUUGUGGCAUUGGAACUAUUAUUCCCAUUAAUAGAUGAGCAAUCUGAGGCACAGAGGGGUUAAAUAACAAGCCCAAGGUCACACAGCUAGUGAGUGGGAGAGCUGAGAUUUGAAUCCAAGAAAAUCCACCCCAAAGCCUUAGCUACUGAAUAGUAUGAGGGCUUGUGGUGGCUUCUGGAGGGGUGUGAGUGUAUGUGCCCAUGGUUCACUGCAGCCUUUGGGCAUCCUUGCCCUGAUCUGCAGGGUAGGGGUGGAGUGACACAAGGAAGACCCUGGUCUGCACAUUAGGACAUCCUAACAGAUAAGUGGUUAGUGCUGAAGAGAAGAGUGUCACCAGGUACCUGGAGGCCAGGAGACUAGGAGGCGACCAAUUGAUAAGGCAAUCAGAGGAGGCUUCACAGAAGAGGUGGCACUUGCCACCAAAUGAGGAUGGACAAGGCAGGGCGAACAGGAGGACCAAAGUUGUAGACAUGGGAGAGGUAUAUUAGGGGUCCAUAGGGGUUCAUCUAGGUGUCAGACUAGACAUUUUCACUGGUUCUGGUGAGUGGGAUGGAGUAGAGACUGUGAACUUGGAGAGGGGCAUGUUGGUUGCCCAGUCUGUGAUUCAGUAGGGAAGAGAGGACAUUUUCAGGGGCUUUGAGAGCCAGUGCAGGCCCAGGAGAGCUGAGAGUCAACUGUGCUGCCCGCGGGGCCAGAUUGGCAUUUUGCUUCUCUGCAAGCUACUCUGAGAUUCCAAAGUCCUGGGUUCCUGAAUCCAGCUGUGCCAGUCCCAUCCCUCCAUUUCUUCAAGCCUCAAUUUCCCCAAUUCGCAAUGGGCAUAAAGAAUGCACCUUGCAUGCCGAUUAAAGGCUGUGUGGGGAUGGGCCUGACGCUCCUGGGGCAGGAGGUGGGGGAAAGGUACCGCAGGGAGGGCAAGUGGGAAGCUGGGAGGGGAGUGGGGUGGUGCGAGGAGCCCUGUGUGCUUGGCCAGUGAAUCCCCGUCUGCUAAGCUGGCCCUGACUGGGAUUCUCCCGGCACCACAUAAUCCAUUUUCCCAAGAUUGCCUGACUCUGCUGCCUCAAAGCAGUCUUCCUUCUGGGCUUCUGCAAGGGCAGUUCUGGGUUAGACCCUGUUCCUCCAGCCAACCCAGUCUAUCCCAGCCAUGUCCCUUGGAGAGCACUCUUCAUGUUCCAAGGGCUGUUUUAAAUGUUCUUCCCUCAUACUAAUUCAGUCCUCACAGCCACACUGUGAGUUCCCUCAUUUCACAUAAGGAAACCGAGGCACAGUGAGGGUAAGCCAGGUGUUCCACAGGGUUCCACGGCAGGGAAGGCGAAGUCUAAGGGAUGGGGAUAGCCCAUGGAGCCAACAAGGAGGGCCCGAGGGAUGGGCCCCUGAACCGCUCUCUCGCUCUUUCUGUACGGGAAAUAUGACCAUUGUGAGUCAUCCGUCUCACACUUUUCUUUUCUGCUCAUCUCAAGGUUCUCAGGUAGCUGCGGAACCACAAUUGAUAUCCCUCUGCCCAUGCAGGCACCUAUGUGUCCACACACUCAACACCAUGGCCGCCCAGCGUCUCAUAGUCACAAGACUCACACUUUUGCACACACAAUCAUUAAUUCAGAGCCACAAACGUGUGUGCAGGCACCACACCCACCCUGCUGCCGAUGCACACACAGGGCACAUGUGGGCUUCGGGCCUCAGACUGACAGCCAAGCACCUACAAGUCCCAUUCCCAGAAUGACAGAUACACACCCACACGUUCACACGGGCUCCAGUGUGCCUGACACGACAUGGUGGGGUCUGUGGACUCACACUGCACCCCGUGGACCCAUGUCCAGACUCCAGCCUCUGCAGAUGUCCCUCCUGCCCAGGUGCCUUCAUUCCUGUCUCUUCAAGACUAUGGCUCUGGAAUGUGCGCACAGUGGAUCCUCUUCUCACGUCAGGUCCCUGCCCUGCCGUCUUCUGUAAGAACUGGGCCUCAGAAAUGACUGGACUCUUCUAUGGACCCAGUGGUGCUGGGACAAGAGUCCAGGCCCUGACACUGCCCCAGAGCAGGGGUGCAGCAUCUAUGAGGAUACCGAGCUCAGGUCAUCGCCCUGCAGCGUCUCAGCCAACUGGGCCUCCAACAACCCAUACACUUGGACAUAAACACAAUUAAAGUUUUUUAUUACAUUA